rnacentral:rRNA from 1 species
UACGUAGGGGGCUAGCGUUGUCCGGAAUCAUUGGGCGUAAAGAGCGUGUAGGCGGCCCGGUAAGUCCGCUGUAAAAGUCAAAGGCUCAACCUUUGAAUGUCAGUGGAUACUGCCGGGCUAGAGUCCGGAAGAGGCGAGUGGAACUCCUGGUGUAGCGGUGGAAUGCGCAGAUAUCAAGGAAGAACACCAACGGCGAAGGCAGCUCGCUAGGACGGUACUGACGCUGAGACGCGAAAGCGUGGGGAGCAAACAGG